GUUUAAUAUGAUACAAUAUACACACACCAAAGGUCAUGUUAUAGGUCAUGUUAUAAACAGCCACAAGGAGCACUUUGAAACUGUUCUUUGUAAAAAUUGCUACCUGACAAGUUGUACUCUGCUAUUAGAAUUUAAGUAGAUGAAAUCCACUGUACGCCAAAGAGUACAAAUGUAAUGUAGGAUACUAGUUAAACACAUCAUAAUACAUACCCAUAUAAACUAACUCGACAGCACCCCAGACUUCAAUCCACAGCAUCCUUUGAGACAAAAAGGUAAAAUACUUUAAAGAAUAUACAUUUUGCACUUGUACAGAAUAGGGAGCAUUACAUGCCAUAGUCCUUUACAAUAAAAUUAUGGUCAGUAUAGUAUGGUAAAAUAUAGCUAUGGCCUUAAUAAGGUGAGGAUUAAAUGGAAACUGUAAGCAUGUAGUAGGGAAGCCAAUUCUUUCUGGCAAAAAUUUCUUCACACAUUUAAAGGCACAGGAGUAUUUUAAAUGUGUAUAAUUAAUAGGGCUAUCCGUAUGUUGACCCAGCAGUACCCUUAUGCUUGCUGGAUUAUUCUUCAAUUCAUCAUCCAAGGACCAUGGAUAUGUUCCCUGGUGUAAAAGUCACUGUGAGAGUUACUAACGACACAGCCAUUGGCAUUGCUCCGCUUCGUCAGGGAACAUGGGGAAUCCGGCACGGCACGCCCCACAUGGCCUGGAUUCAGGGAGCCCCUGGCUGGAUACGUGAAAGAAUGUUUGAAAAAGAAAAGACAUUUCACACUGUCAGGGAAGCAGUUUUGAAACAACAACACAACUGGUGACAAGCAAUUAAACAUCACCCUUCAAGCCUGACAUUUGGCAUCUGUUCCAGUGUUUGCUGAGACCUCCUAUGAUUCCAUUUAAUAUGCACAACGUAAAAUGAUUCAGCCUUUAGUUUAAAAGAUUCUGAAGCAAACAAGUCCACAAUGAUAUCACGGAGAAGAGAAAUAAAAAAAAUAUACAAACU
rnacentral:lncRNA from 11 species